rnacentral:rRNA from 1 species
GACGUAGGGCGCGAGCGUUGUCCGGAAUCAUUGGGCGUAAAGAGCGUGUAGGCGGCUUGUUAAGUCUUGCGUGAAAUCUCGGGGCUCAACCCCGAGCGGUCGUGAGAAACUGGCAGGCUAGAGUGCUGGAGAGGAGAGUGGAAUUCCUGGUGUAGCGGUGAAAUGCGCAGAUAUCAGGAGGAACACCGGUGGCGAAGGCGGGUCUCUGGGCCGAUACUGACGCUGAGGAGCGAAAGCAUGGGUAGCGAACAGG